AACGAACGCUGGCGGCAUGCCUAACACAUGCAAGUCGAACGAGACCUUCGUGUCUAGUGGCGCACGGGUGCGUAACGCGGGGGAACCUGCCCUUAGGUUCGGAAUAACUCCCCGAAAGGGGAGCUAAUACCGGAUAAUGUCUUCGGACCAAAGAGUUAUCGCCUUUGGAUGGGCCCUCGUUGGAUUCGUUAGUUGGUAGGGUACAAGCCUACCAAGGCGACGAUCCAUAGCUGGUCUGAUAGGAGGACCAGCCACACUGGGAAUGCGACACGGCCCAGAACCGUACGGGGGGGAGGGGUAGGGAACACUAUACGAGGGGCCAAAAUCCAGCACAGCAGUGCGGGGGGUGACGUGAAUGCCUUAGGGUUGUACAGCCCUUUUUCCCGGGAUGAUAAUGACAGUACCGGGAGAAUAAGCUCCGGCUAACUCCGUG
rnacentral:rRNA from 1 species